rfam:Aspergillus oryzae RIB40 DNA, chromosome 6.
UCAAAUGAUGAAUAAGAGCUUUGCUCGAAUAUAACCCAGCUCGUCGAAGGGCCUCAAUUUAUACCAACGCGAGGUCACAUGAGAUUACGUCCUAUCUGAUAUU